rnacentral:rRNA from 1 species
UACGGAGGAUCCAAGCGUUAUCCGGAAUCAUUGGGUUUAAAGGGUCCGUAGGCGGUUUUGUAAGUCAGUGGUGAAAGCCCAUCGCUCAACGGUGGAACGGCCAUUGAUACUGCAAGACUUGAAUUAUUGGGAAGUAACUAGAAUAUGGUAGUGUAGCGGUGAAAUGCUUAGAGAUUACAUGGAAUACCAAUUGCGAAGGCAGGUUACUCCAA